rnacentral:rRNA from 1 species
GGGUAGAGUAAUGCGUGACCAACCUGCCCCAUGCUCCAGAAUAGCUCUUGGAAACGGGUGGUAAUGCUGGAUGCUCCAACUUGACGCAUGUCUUGUUGGGAAAGUGUUUAGUGGCAUGGGAUGGGGUCGCGUCCUAUCAGCUUGUAGGCGGGGUAAUGGCCCACCUAGGCUUCGACGGGUAGCCGGCCUGAGAGGGCGGACGGCCACAUUGGGACUGAGAUACGGCCCAGACUCCUACGGGAGGCAGCAGC